rnacentral:rRNA from 1 species
AGCAGCCGCGGUAAUUCCAGCUCCAAUAGCGUAUAUUAAAGUUGUUGCAGUUAAAAAGCUCGUAGUUGAAUUUCGGGAUUGACGUGAUGGUCGUGCCUUAAGGGGUAUGAACUGUCGCAGUUGAUUUCUCACCUUCUGGAGAAGCAUGAUGUCCUUAAUUGGGUGUCAUGUGGAACCAGGACCUUUACCUUGAAAAAAUUUAGAGUGUUUAAAGCAGGCAUUUUGCUCGAAUACAUUAGCAUGGAAUAAUAGAAUAGGACGGCAUGGUUCUAUUUUGUUGGUUUCUAGGAUCACCGUAAUGAUUAAUAGGGAUAGUUGGGGGGCAUUAGUAUUCAAUUGUCAGAGGUGAAAUUCUUGGAUUAUUGGAAGACUAACUACUGCGAAAGCAUUUGCCAAGGAUGUUUUCAUUAAUCAAGAACGAAAGUUAGGGGAUCGAAGACGAUCAGAUACCGUCGUAGUCUUAACCAUAAACUAUGCCGACUAGGGAUCGGACGAUGUUAAUUUUUUAAUGACUCGUUCG